rnacentral:lncRNA from 1 species
GGUGAUGUGAUUGAGGUGUAUGUGCUUAUAUAUACAUACAUGAUUACUAUAUAGAUAUGUUUGGAUUUAAAAUGUGAUUGCAUUGACUGUUGGUAACUUGAGUAUUGUCAAUGUGUUCAAUUUAAUUUGCAACGUGGCGUGAGUGGAUUUUCCCAAUGGCAGUGAAUACCCCUUGGAUUUUAUAUGGCUUGAAUCUCGAUGCAGAAAAAAUACCUUUUUGCUGCGGUGAGAGUCAAUCUAUUAUGUUUGACUUACUUGAAGUUUACUAAAGUUUUCACUUCUCAACUACUUUGUUGUUCAUGAGUCUUUCAUUAUUAAGUGACCAAAAGAUCAAGAUUUGAAAUGAGGGGUUUUUAAUAAGGGUUAAGCUAAACUGUAUUGUUUUGAACUUAAAUGCAUCAUGAUUUUUUUUAAAAAAAGAAACAUUCCUUAACGUUGCUUGUUCCCUUUCUAUGUUCACUCACUGAGUUUGUACUUACGUUUUUAAAAUUCAUGUUUUAUGUUUUUCAUAGUCAAAGGUGAUUGGAUCUUAGGACGAGGUGCUCCUCACUAUCCAUUGCUCGGUAGGUUUACCAUGACAUUAAAUGUUAGCAACCAUGUCCAGAGUCACUCCGCUGACGGUCAAGUUUUAAUUACGUGUAUAUGACUAUUUGUUGUGAAAUGCUGAGAUUCACUUGUCAAAUUAGAUGUAUGUAUAUAAUGGUUGAUGAUGCCAUUAUGAAUACAUGACUGGAUUUUAUGAGUUAUUUUCAAAGAAAUUGUAAUUG